GAUGAACGCUAGCUACAGGCUUAACACAUGCAAGUCGAGGGGCAGCAGGAUCUAGCAAUAGAUUGCUGGCGACCGGCGCACGGGUGAGUAACACGUAUCCAACCUGCCGAUAACUCGGGGAUAGCCUUUCGAAAGAAAGAUUAAUACCCGAUGGUAUAAUCAGACCGCAUGGCUUGAUUAUUAAAGAAUUUCGGUUAUCGAUGGGGAUGCGUUCCAUUAGGCAGUUGGUGAGGUAACGGCUCACCAAACCUUCGAUGGAUAGGGGUUCUGAGAGGAAGGUCCCCCACAUUGGAACUGAGACACGGUCCAAACUCCUACGGGAGGCAGCAGUGAGGAAUAUUGGUCAAUGGACGCGAGUCUGAACCAGCCAAGUAGCGUGAAGGAUGACUGCCCUAUGGGUUGUAAACUUCUUUUAUAUGGGAAUAAAGUUUUCCACGUGUGGAAUUUUGUAUGUACCAUAUGAAUAAGGAUCGGCUAACUCCGUGCCAGCAGCCGCGGUAAUACGGAGGAUCCGAGCGUUAUCCGGAUUUAUUGGGUUUAAAGGGAGCGUAGGUGGACAGUUAAGUCAGUUGUGAAAGUUUGCGGCUCAACCGUAAAAUUGCAGUUGAUACUGGCUGUCUUGAGUACAGUAGAGGUGGGCGGAAUUCGUGGUGUAGCGGUGAAAUGCUUAGAUAUCACGAAGAACUCCGAUUGCGAAGGCAGCUCACUGGACUGCAACUGACACUGAUGCUCGAAAGUGUGGGUAUCAAACAGGAUUAGAUACCCUGGUAGUCCACACAGUAAACGAUGAAUACUCGCUGUUUGCGAUAUACAGUAAGCGGCCAAGCGAAAGCAUUAAGUAUUCCACCUGGGGAGUACGCCGGCAACGGUGAAACUCAAAGGAAUUGACGGGGGCCCGCACAAGCGGAGGAACAUGUGGUUUAAUUCGAUGAUACGCGAGGAACCUUACCCGGGCUUAAAUUGCAUUUGAAUAAUCUGGAAACAGGUUAGCCGCAAGGCAAAUGUGAAGGUGCUGCAUGGUUGUCGUCAGCUCGUGCCGUGAGGUGUCGGCUUAAGUGCCAUAACGAGCGCAACCCUUAUCUUUAGUUACUAACAGGUCAUGCUGAGGACUCUAGAGAGACUGCCGUCGUAAGAUGUGAGGAAGGUGGGGAUGACGUCAAAUCAGCACGGCCCUUACGUCCGGGGCUACACACGUGUUACAAUGGGGGGUACAGAAGGCAGCUACCUGGUGACAGGAUGCUAAUCCCAAAAGCCUCUCUCAGUUCGGAUCGAAGUCUGCAACCCGACUUCGUGAAGCUGGAUUCGCUAGUAAUCGCGCAUCAGCCAUGGCGCGGUGAAUACGUUCCCGGGCCU
rnacentral:rRNA from 1 species